CGCCUUGCCAGCCCGCUCAGAAACUCAAAUGAAUUGACGGGGGCCCGCACAAGCGGAGGAGCAUGUGGUUUAAUUCGAUGAUACGCGAGGAACCUUACCUGGGCUUAAAUGCUUAAUGACGUACUGGGAAACUGGUAUUUCUUCGGACAUUUUGCAAGGUGCUGCAUGGUUGUCGUCAGCUCGUGCCGUGAGGUGUCGGGUUAAGUCCCAUAACGAGCGCAACCCCUAUUGUUAGUUGCCAUCAGGUCAUGCUGGGGACUCUAACAAAACUGCCCGCGUAAGCGUGGAGGAAGGUGGGGAUGACGUCAAAUCAGCACGGCCCUUACGUCCAGGGCUACACACGUGCUACAAUGGCCGGUACAGAGGGCAGCCACUUGGUGACAAGGAGCAAAUCUCAAAAGCCGGUCUCAGUUCGGAUCGGAGUCUGCAACUCGACUCCGUGAAGUUGGAUUCGCUAGUAAUCGUAGAUCAGCAAUGCUACGGUGAAUACGUUCCCGGGCCUU
rnacentral:rRNA from 1 species